GCCAGGUGUGGUGGUGCACACCUGUAAUCCCAGCUACUCAGGAGGCUGAGACAGGAGAAUCACUUGAACCUGGGAAGUGGAAGUUGUAGUGAGCCAAGAUCAUGCCACUGCACUCUAGCCUAGGUGACAGAGUGAGACUCCGUCUCCA
rnacentral:SRP_RNA from 1 species